rnacentral:rRNA from 1 species
AGCAGCCGCGGUAAUUCCAGCUCCAAUAGCGUAUAUUAAAGUUGUUGCAGUUAAAAAGCUCGUAGUUGAAUUUCGGGAUCAGCGCGUCGGUCGUGCCUCAGUAUGCACUGGCGCCGCUGGUUUCUCCCUUCUGAGGAACCGUGAUGUCAUUAAUUUGGUGUUGCGGGAAAUCAGGACUGUUACUUUGAAAAAUUAGAGUGUUUAAAGCGGGCACGCGCUUGAAUACAUUAGCAUGGAAUAACGAAAUAGGACGUUCGAUCUUAUUUUGUUGGUUUCUAGGAUUGACGUAAUGAUUAAUAGGGAUAGUUGGGGGCAUUAGUAUUCAAUUGUCAGAGGUGAAAUUCUUGGAUUUAUUGAAGACUAACUACUGCGAAAGCAUUUGCCAAGGAUGUUUUCAUUAAUCAAGAACGAAAGUUAGGGGAUCGAAGACGAUCAGAUACCGUCGUAGUCUUAACCAUAAACUAUGCCGACUAGGAUCGGAUGAUGUUAAUUUUUUAAUGUACUCAUUCGGCGUCCUUAC